UACGUAGGGUGCGAGCGUUAAUCGGAAUUACUGGGCGUAAAGCGUGCGCAGGCGGUGAUGUAAGACCGAUGUGAAAUCCCCGGGCUUAACCUGGGAACUGCAUUGGUGACUGCAUCGCUCGAGUAUGGCAGAGGGGGGGUAGAAUUCCACGUGUAGCAGUGAAAUGCGUAGAGAUGUGGAGGAAUACCGAUGGCGAAGGCAGCCCCCCUGGGUCAAUACUGACGCUCAUGCACGAAAGCGUGGGGAGCAAACAGG
rnacentral:rRNA from 1 species